rnacentral:misc_RNA from 2 species
AGCAGCCGCGGUAAUUCCAGCUCCAAUAGCGUAUAUUAAAGUUGUUGCAGUUAAAAAGCUCGUAGUUGAAUUUCGGGAUUGACGUGAUGGUCGUGCCUUACGGGGUAUGAACUGUUGCAGUCAAUUUCUCACCUUCUGGAGAAAUAUGAUGUCCUUAAUUGGGUGUCAUAUGGAACCAGAACUUUUACCUUGAAAAAAUUAGAGUGUUUAAAGCAGGCUUAUUGCUCGAAUACAUUAGCAUGGAAUAAUAAAAUAGGACGGCAUGGUUCUAUUUUGUUGGUUUCUAGGAUCACCGUAAUGAUUAAUAGGGAUAGUUGGGGGCAUUAGUAUUCAAUUGUCAGAGGUGAAAUUCUUGGAUUUAUUGAAGACUAACUACUGCGAAAGCAUUUGCCAAGGAUGUUUUCAUUAAUCAAGAACGAAAGUUAGGGGAUCGAAGACGAUCAGAUACCGUCGUAGUCUUAACCACAAACUAUGCCGACUAGGAAUCAGACGAUGUUAAUUUUUUAAUGACUCGUUUGGC